UACGUAGGGUGCAAGCGUUAAUCGGAAUUACUGGGCGUAAAGCGCGUGUAGGCGGUUCGGUAAGUCCGCUGUGAAAGUCGGGGGCUCAACCCUCGAAAGCCGGUGGAUACUGUCGGGCUAGAGUACGGAAGAGGUGAGUGGAAUUCCUGGUGUAGCGGUGAAAUGCGCAGAUAUCAGGAGGAACACCAAUUGCGAAGGCAGCUCGCUGGGACGUUACUGACGCUGAGACGCGAAAGCGUGGGGAGCAAACAGG
rnacentral:rRNA from 1 species